CAUAAACAAAGACCUCCUAACUUUGUUUAGAAAAAUCCUAAAACUUUUCUUUUUCAUAAUAAUCUCCCUAAGAGUCGCCAAAUCAGGCGGCUUUUUU
rfam:Streptococcus sp. HSISM1 chromosome, whole genome shotgun sequence.